rnacentral:rRNA from 1 species
UACGUAGGCAGCAAGCGUUGUUCGGAAUUACUGGGCGUAAAGAGUGUGUAGGCGGUGCUCUAAGUUCGGUGUGAAAUCUCCCGGCUCAACUGGGAGGGUGCGCCGGAAACUGGAGUGCUGGAGCGCGGGAGAGGAAAGCGGAAUUCCUGGUGUAGCGGUGAAAUGCGUAGAUAUCAGGAGGAACACCGGCGGUGUAGACGGCUUUCUGGACCGUAGCUGACGCUGAGAACACGAAAGCGUGGGUAGCAAACAGG